UACGAGGGGGGCAAGCGUUGUUCGGAAUUAUUGGGCGUAAAGGGCGCGUAGGCGGUGCGGUAAGUCACCUGUGAAAACUCUGGGCUCAACUCAGAGCCUGCAGGCGAAACUGCCGUGCUUGAGUGUGGGAGAGGUGCGUGGAAUUCCCGGUGUAGCGGUGGAAUGCGUAGAUAUCGGGAGGAACACCUGUGGCGAAAGCGGCGCACUGGACCACAACUGACGCUGAGGCGCGAAAGCUAGGGGAGCAAACAGG
rnacentral:rRNA from 1 species